rnacentral:rRNA from 1 species
UACGGAGGGGGCUAGCGUUGUUCGGAAUUACUGGGCGUAAAGCGCACGUAGGCGGCUUUGUAAGUUAGAGGUGAAAGCCCAGGGCUUAACCCUGGAAUUGCCUUUGAUACUGCAUGGCUUGAAUCCAGGAGAGGUGAGUGGAAUUCCGAGUGUAGAGGUGAAAUUCGUAGAUAUUCGGAAGAACACCAGUGGCGAAGGCGGCUCACUGGACUGGUAUUGACGCUGAGGUGGCGAAAAGCGUGGGGAGCAAACAGG